rnacentral:lncRNA from 1 species
UUUUUUCUUUUUCUUUUUCUUUUUCUUUUUCUUUUUCUUCUUGGCUGCACUCACAGCAUGUGGAAGUUCCUGGGCCAGGGAUCAAAUCUGCACCACAGAUCCAACCUGAGCUGAAGCACUAACAACACCAGAUCCUUAACCUCUUGGGCCACAAGGGAACUUGGGUUUCCCUUACAUGCAGCUCCAACACUCUUACUGAGCACAGUAUCUGCCUGCAUAGGAAGAGGUACAGUGAACUGUCACCACAAUGAAGAGGACAAAAACGGUCUUAAGCUCCUUCACCAUCACCCCUUUCCCUCUCAGUACCCAGUCUCGCUCCUUUCCUUCUGGCCUGGGGAGCAGGCUGCUGGCUGUGUUGGCUUCCCAUGUGCAAGAAGGGGCUGGGGUGAAGGAUAUAGUGACAGACAGGCCAAACACCCAGGGCCCACCAGUUAGCAUGGGAGCUGCAGCAGCCCUGCCAAGGUCCUCAGCCUGCCUACCAAGAGUGAUGUGGAUUGGCUGCCUGGUAGAACGGCCAGACACUGGAUUCCUGGUCUGAAUCCUGUUACUAUAAUUGUGUGACUCCAUUACUUUAUUUUUCUGGGCUUCUGUUUCCUUGGCUAUAAAAGUGGAACCAGAACAGCUCCUGUUUCUCAGAGAAGCUGUAAGGACUAAUUGAGGAAAAAAAAUUAAUUAUAAACAUAGGAUUCAUCGUAUGCUUGACAUAUUCCAGGCACCAUUUUAACCACUUUACAAACUAUUAGUCCAAUUGACGUCCACAGUAAGUCAAGGAGAUAGGUACUAUUAUUAUUUCACUUUACAGAUGAAGAAACUGAGGCAUAGAAAGGUUAAUAACUUGCCCAGAGUCUCAAAAACUAGUAAGGGGUAGAACUGGGAUUUGAAUCCAGGUAUUCCAACCUCAGUCUGCAUCCGUAGAGGUUCAGGCAGGAAAGAAACACUGAUGUCAGAGUUUAAGAGAAGGAACCUGGAGUUCCCGUCGUGGCGCAGUGGUUAACGAAUCCGACUAGGAACCAUGAGGUUGCGGGUUCGAUCCCUGCCCUUGCUCAGUGGGUUAACGAUCCGGCGUUGCUGUGAGCUGUGGUGUAGGUUGCAGACGCGGCUCGGAUCCCACGUUGCUGUGGCUCUGGUGUAGGCUGGUGGCUACAGUUCCGAUUCAACCCCUAGCCUGGGAACCUCCGUAUGCCGCGGGAGCUGCCCAAGAAAUACCAAAAAAAAAAAGAAAAAAAGAGAGAAGGAACGUAAUACAGGCACAUGGUUAGAAAGGGGCUCGAAAACUGAGGGAAGAUGAACAACUGUAGAUGAACCAUCUCCAGAGAUGAAGGGAUGAGUGGGUGUCACUGAAGCCCAAGAAGCGCCUUGGCCAGCUGGUAGGAGCUGGGACACAGCAAGAAGGGGCCAUUCUCUGUAGCCGCUGCCAGAAGCUGCAAAAGUGGUAGUGUGGGGGGGUACGUCGCCACUUCUCCCCAGCCUCGGCUCUAAUCCAUCAGUACCUUCCAUUGGCUGAAUUUACUAGGAAGCCAGCGGACAGGCGAGCCUGGGAAAUGUAAUUGAGCCCCCAGAUGUGAGCCCAGCAAGGGAAGGACAGGGAAUGGGGCUGAGAACAAACAGUAAAUGACUUGCAUAUCCACCGUGCCAUACAGCCUCGUCAUCAAAAUGCAGGCACAUAAGGGCAACUGUGCCCAUAAAUGGCAAUUAUGGGGACAAGAAUUUAGGUCUCUGACUCCUGGUUCAGUGAUGUAUCCAGUACAGGAGUAGAAACCAGCAGUUACGGGUGCCCUAUGACACUGAGGAGCAGAGCAGAGCAGGGAGCUAGUGGGGCUCCUGAUGGUGCCUCCUCCUCUUAGUCUUUGCAUAUCUGGAAGCUUCUACAGAUGGCUCUCCACACAUCUGCCAGAAGAAGCAAGCAUUGUUUUUCUCUUUAAAGGGAGUGAGAGCAGCCUGAAUCUUCCCAGCAACUGCUUUUGGAUCUGAGAGAAACAGAUGCAGCUGCUGCUGCAAAUUAGAAGGCAAAUAAAUGGGGUGAGGUGCCCCACACCCUCCUUUUGCAAAGACCAUCAUCUCUGUCUCUGCAGAGUCCCCUCACUCCCCUCAUCCCUGCAGGCCCCAUUGUAUAACCUCAGUGAGUAGCUGGGAAGCAUCUGCCACGUGCUGCCCUGGAAGCAGGCAGGAUCCCACAGAUGACAGCAUGAGCAAGAGCAGAAGGUCCAGGCCAGAGCACAAGAGACAUGGAGUCUGAGCCUGUCCUGCCAGGACAGAGUAGAGAUGGUCAUGGGAGCCCUUCUCUUUGACCAGAAUUCUGCCUCUAGAGAUUUAUCAGAGAUAAAUCUUACUCAAGGGCAUAAAGCUUUCUGGACAAGGCUAUUCCCUGCAGGGUGGGUUACACUUCUCAGAAUACUAGGGGGAAAAUGUAGCCCAUCAGAGAUGAUUUGAUUAAGCAAAUAAUGAUGUCCCUGAACAAUGGAAUGUUCUGUGCACCUACAAGGAAUGAAAUGUCUACAUGAGCUGAAAUGGGCUGAUCUUCAAGACAGACUGUCAAGCGAAACAUUCAAGGGACAGAACUGUGUGUCCAGUGUGCUCACGUCUGGGGGAGGGGCAGGGAAGACAUGUUUUCCUAUAUUUAUACAAGCACCUCUUGCUAUCCAGAUCCAUUUGGUUUCUGGACUCAGAGAGCAGGGAUUCAAAGCAAGAGAUGCCACAUUAUUGGAAACUGGGACUCCUGUAUUUCAUUUCCGGCAGCAAAUGGCAAGAGUCCAACAGUUCAUCUAGAGGCUACCUGAACCCAUUUUGCUGCGGAACUCGAACAGUGUUUGGAUAACCAGGGUACACAGUAAGGUUGUCUGUGUAAAUACGAGUGUCAGGCCUGUGUAUGUGUGGGCUCUCUGGGAAGAUAUACAGGGAACUGAUUAGCAGUGGGUGCUGCUGGGGAGGGUAAUUCAGUCCUGAUGGAUGGGGCAGAAGGGAGACUUAUUUUUCAGUUUACCUAUAUAUUGCGAUGGCUUUAACAUAAUGGCCCCCUGGAGUUCCCUGGUGGCCUAGUGGGUUAAGGAUCCAUUCAGGAUUGUCACUGCUAUGGCCCAGGUCACUGCUGUGGUGCAGGUUCAAUCCCUGGCCCAGGAUUGGGUACAGCCAAAAACAAAACAAAACAAAGCAAAAAACACCCACAGCCCCCAAAUUCUUUGAGGGGUGGGGUCAAUGUCUCAUCCUGUUCCAUAUGAGCCGGUUUGUAUCUGCUUAGACUGUGAAGAAUGAUGGAAGUGAUACUGUGUGACUUUCAAGGCUAAGUCAUAAAAGGUCAUCCAGGAGUUCCCGUUGUGGUGCAGCAGAAACAAAUCUGACUAGUAACCAUGAUGUUGCAGAUUCGAUCCUUGGCCUCGCUCAGUGAGUUAAUGAUCUGGCGUUGUCAUGAGCUGUGGUGUAGGUCACAGACGUGGCUCGGAUCAAGCAUUGCUGUGGCUGGGGUGCAGACCGGUGGCUGUAGCUCCCAUUAGACUCCUAGCCUGGGAACCUCCAUAUGCCACAGGUGUGGCCCUAAAAAGCAAAAUAAAUAAAUAAAUAAAUAAAUAAAAAGUGAUGCAGCUACAUCUGGGACACUUUCCUCUCAUUCUCCAGCCACCGCUGGGAGAAGUCCAAGCCACUUGGAGGGGCCCUGUAUGGGCGCUGCGGUCCACAGAACCACCUGACCUCCAGCUCCAGCUGACAUGAGGUCUCUUGGAAGUUCAGCCCCAGUCGAGCAUUCAGAUGACUGCACCCUCAGCUGCCAUGUGACCACAACAACUUCAGAGACCCUAAGUGAGAACCACCCAUGUGAACCAAAUCAGCACAUAGAAGAGACAAUAAAACAUUGCAAGAGACAAUAACACACUGUUAUUUCAAGCCCCUGAGUUUGGGGGUAGUUGUGUGUGUGUGCAUGGGUGUGAAUAUUAACUAGACUACAUUGUGUGUGUGUGUGUGUAUUUUUUUCUUGGCUGCUCUUAUGGCAUGUGGAAGUUCCCAGGCCAGGGAUCGAACCCGUGCUGUAGUUGCAGCCUGAGCCACAGCUGCAUCAAUGCUGGAUCCCUAACCCACUGUGCCACAAGGGCACUUCCUAGAACACACAUUAUGAACAUAGAUCACAUAUAUUACCUACUCAAAAUUAGCAAUAUCUUCCUUGUAACCAUACAGGGAUGGUGCUAAAUGUAAAAUGUGCAGUAUCUCAUUUAUUUCUCACAAGUUCACUGUAGUCAUCUCCGUUUCAGAGAUGGGAAAACUGAAGCUCUGAGGGGUUCUUUGGUUACUGCCCAAGAUCACCCCUCACAAAAGGCAGCCCCGGGAUAUGAAACCGGGAGGCCUCUCUGGCCCAGGGCUAGCCCCUGGGAACCUGCUCUCGCUCCCUGCCCCCCGUGGGCCUCACCUUCCCCCAUGAGGAGUAGGGGAACAGGGGAGGAGUGGGAACUCACAGCCCACAGGGGCCUGAUCAGUAACACAGAGGGGAGAAGUGGGCGUGGUGGGCUCAGCCCUGGGAAAGCCUGCUCAGCGUUGCCAGAUUGUUAGAUUUUUAAAUAGAAUCCAGAAAUCAGAUUUUCAUGUGCAAUCCAUUCCUGUUUUAACACUGGCAACUGGAUUUUUUUUUUUUUUUUUUUUUUUCAUGUGUAGACUGAAAAGCAAAACAAAAACAAGAGCCUGUGGAUUUGCCUCUCUGGACAAGAAGAUCUCCAAGGAGUCUUCGGCGCAGACAUCCUGACUUUCCACAGAGCCUCUCCAGGGAGACAGCGCAAUUCCAAUCUCAAGAGGCUCAAUCUGAGGAAGGAGAGGGAAGGAUGAAGACGAGAGGCCCCAGCUUCUCCCGCAGCUCCCCUCCCCGCAGGGAGGGGGACACAGCGGGUGCCGGGAAGCCGGGCCACAGGGAGCCACAGCAGUGCUGGAGAGCAGCUGAGCCUGCCGUCAAUCAGCCACCAUGGGCUGCCCGCCUUCCCAGAGCUGUCUGUCCACUCCCUGGGGCUGCUGGAGGCAGGCGGGGCACCAGGGAGAGACUGGAUUUCCGCUGCUGCGGGCACCACCCCCGCCCAUACCGGCCCUCUUCUCCACCUCCCUGCUCACCCCACCGCUUUUCCAGUGGGAACCCUGCCCCUGCCUCCUCCCCUGAUCGACCCUCCUUAGCAGAGGGGAUUGAUCUAGUCCUCAGCUGUCUCUUGGGGCCUCUGCCCCCACCCCCCACCCCACAGUGUCUUCCCCACUCCCUCCUCAGCCUGCGGCCUGUUCCAUCUUCACUGACUUGUCUUCCUCUGAGAUCCAGCCAGGCAGAGCACAGCGGCGUGAUUGAUGAGCUAGGGAGCUCUGGCUGGCAGGCCGGUGGGCAGCCAGCCAGAGCCAUGGCUCUCACAAGAUAGCAGAGCUGCCCCCGGGAGAGCCCCCAGCUACCAAGAUUCUCCCUGGGGUCACCCCUCUGCCCAGACUGACAUGGCAGCCACUCUGUCCAGAGCAGAUAACCCCAAGGGCCACUGGGUACCAUACCUGGCACGCAACGGUCCUUCAUUUGAUGAGAGAGCUCUGUUCUCUCUCCAUUCCAAAAACAGAGACCCAAGAAAAUAAAGGCAGUGAACGCCUUAAAGCUGGAAACAUUGUCAUUCAGCCAUGCCACUGAGUCCAGGUGUCUGUAAUUUGUUCAUUCAUUCAUUCCUGCAACAUGAGGGUUUGCUCUGAGGAUCACCACUUCAUUGUAAUUCUAGUUGUGGUCUCGAGGGGCAGACUGGUUUGAAUUCAGGCUCCAUCGCUUCCUGGCUACAUGACCUUGAGCAUGUCACAUCACCUCUCUAGGCUGCAGCUUCUUUCUCGUGGUUACUGCUGUGAGAUUGUCAGAUAACACACGUAAAGUUUUUAGGACAGGGCCUGGCAGAUAAAAGAGAUCCAGAAAUGUUCUCAUUCAACAAGUAACUGAGGGCCUACCACGUGCCAGGUUCAGGGGCUACAGCUCCAGAGCCAGGCAGAUAAGAUCCCUGCUCUCACGUAGCCUGCCUUGGAGAGAGGGAAGACUGACAGAAAACACCUAACUGAGCAGACAAACAGGAAAGAGCAGGAGAGGUAACAGGUCACAGGAUGGUGAGUGGUGGCCAGGAGCCAUGGGGGGUGGGGCGAGGGUAGGCCUGUGGACCCCUCCAAGGAGGUGAUACUGGAGUAGAGUUGGGAUGAGAGCACAGCCAGGUGAAAAUCUGGGGAAAUAGCUUUUUAGGUAGAGGGAAGAGCACAUGGGAAGGUUCUGAGGCAGGCAUAAACAUUGGAAUAUGUAAGAAACCAAAAAAGAAGAGGGAGGGGCCAGCGUGGCUAGAAGAGCAAAACAGAAAGCAUAGGAGAUGUACU